CUCAAACCCAUAAAGGACCCAGUGAUUGAACUCUAUUGCCUAUUGUGAAAAACUUUUUGUAGGUGAAGAACCUGAAGGACCUGAGGCUGUGCCAGUACAUGCUGGAGAAGUACUUGACUGGACUCGGGAGUAGCGGCCUAGGCAUUGGCCCACAGAAGUGCUGUUCUGCUUCCUUGGAUGCCAGUCACAACAACUCGAUCUUCUCUGUCCAACGGAGUUGUCUUGGUUGUAGAUUUGGGGAUCCUCAAUCUCUCAGCUUAGUUCUCUAACGUUAAGGCAUAUUGAAUCUUAGUAUCCUACUUUAUUUGCCACUGUUCUUUCUAACUUUAUUUUGCCAGAACAUUCUAUGGGUAAGACAUUCCAUCUGUAACACUUUAUGAUGGGUAAGCCCACAUGAGGAUACCCAGAACCCAUACACAAUGUGCUCUUAUUUACCUGUGAGAAGUCCAAACCAGUAACCCUGAUCUUGAAUCAGUGCUGAGAAGGACCUUAAAACUCAGAACAUGACAUGUCCCAGUGUGGUUCUUGAGCCUGAGAGUUCUCAGCACCACUGUUCAACCCUCUUGUUUAUUCAGGGUUGGGACACUUUUCAUUCCUUUCUUGUUAGAGUCAACAAUGACUUCUGUAGAAGUUGGGAAUCUAGAAAGCAAAGGGUGGGGUUUUCUUGCAUGACCUUGACCCAUGUUGGGUUUUCUGUCUUCCAUCUCCACUUUUAACAUUAAAUAUACUACAUCUCUCCAAAGGUUAUGCCUAUUCUAGAGUGCUGCACUCAGUGACGAAGUUGGAGCAAGUGUCAAAAGAGUGAAGACCAAGCUCUGACUAUUACAGAGAGUUUGAGAUAGACAACUGAUACUUGGAAAAACACUUGACUUCUCAGUGGGACCUCCAUCUACUAUAAAUAACCAACAACCUGUUCAAGGAUCAAUGUGCUUCUGACCUGAGGAAAACAAGGUAGAAGGAAGUCCGCAGAAGGAAAUGGGUCUGAUGUCUACCACCUUAAUACUUCCAAUUCUGUCUUCUAGGCAUCACUAACAAAUCUAUACAGUCUUACCUCCCAGAAGAUGAGUGAAAGUGUUACAGUUAGGAUGACUGUUGACAUGAGGCACUCAGAGGUUCUCCACAAAUCUGAAGGACAAGAUUGAGAUUGCCAUUCAUAUGGUCUUUCCAUAGUCUUCCCUUAGAAUCAGAAUUGAAAAUCACUGCGGACCUCAUCUAUUAGUUGCAGCUUCUUGAUACUGAAGAGAUUGUUCUACCUGAUGAGCUCAGGACUAGAAGAUGGACAGCAUCCAAGAAGCCUGGCCCAUCUAAGGCCAAGUCACAUCUUCAUGAAAUAUUGAAAAGCAUUUGUGCAUAGGAGAAAAAUGUAAUCGCCAAGAUCUCAUCAGGCAUUCUAGCCUACUGAGAGUCUGAUAGACUCAGGUCAGAGGUUACCUCUGAUUCCUAGAAGUGGAAGAAGGUACCAUUCCACAGAAGAAGCCUGUUGCUGAUGCUGUUGCAACCAGGACUAUGAUUGUGAAACUUGUGUCUCUGUGGAUAUCAGGUUCAGGAGUCUUGUGCCCAGGUAUCUACAUUCCUCCUCUCAUACUUCAUUGGAUAGAACUUUACAAGCCCUAUAAUUGGGAGUGUCAUGUGCAGAUGGUAUUACACUUGACACAUAGUAUAAAAAAAGAUUUGUACCCAUUUAAGGGGCUGGAAAUAGGCUGGACCCAUAGUUGUACUCUGUGGCUAUUGACCCUUUUCAAACUUGUUUGACUAGGAACAAAGCUGAGAACCUGAUAUUUCCAAGAUUCAUCCUUACAAAAUUCAGAAACCCAUAGCUCAAAACAGUACAGAUACCACUCAGAAAUGAAUCCAAGAACAAGAUGUCUGACACGAGAAUUUUACAGAUUAAUUUGUAGGUCCAGGACUCAGCAACACUAAACCUACAGAGAAUCAUUCAGGGAUUCCACUGUUAGAAUUCAGGAGCUGCCAUUGACAGAAAUGACCCACGGGAGACUCUUAUUGCCAUAUCAUUGCCUCUGUGACCCACAGUGCUGUGACUGCCAUGCUCUCUGUCAAACUCCAUAGGAGGUCACCAUUAGUAGAAUACUAGUGCAGGGCAGCAGAGCAGUACAGUGGCCCUAGGCUGGUGUUGUGGGUGGUUCCAGGAGAUACUGACAUCACACCACCCUCUACAUCUAGAAUGAAAGGAAGAGGAACACGGGAGGGAGUGUGUGAUUGUAUUCAUGGCCCAAAGCUGCCUAGGUGUCAGCUACCAGUCUGGAAGAGCCCAUCUGCCUCUGUAUGGAGGAUUCAGGUCAGGAAUGUGACCGGGAACACAGGAUUCAGUGCUCGCAAGAGGAAAGUCCUUUACGUGACAUCUUGAACUAUGACACAACAAAGAUGGGAUAGCUUGGCCUUAUUGGGACUGGCACAUAUUGGGGCUGGCAUAGAGGGAUUCUCUAGAAUGUACAGGAUUGUUUGAGUACACAGGAGGGUUGACAAGUCAGCAGAAGAGUAGGACACACACUGAGGUCAAGUGCCAGGUAGCAUGAGCUAUGUAGCCACACAGCUGGACAGAUGGGCUUUCUUGCUCUAACUGAAGCAGAACCAAAGCAGGACCUGCCUGAGCCUCCAUCUGUACCUUGGUUCCAGUCGUUUCUCUCUCUUGCAAAUCACAAGCAUUAUGAAGCACUACUCUUGGCUGCCAGCAUCACAUGGGCUUUGUUCAUGUUACAGACAGGACAUACAAUAAUCAGUUUUCCUCCUACCUGUAACCAUCCAGAAGCUUAAGGUAGAGCAUGGUCACCUGAAAAGAGGGCUGGAAAUUCAAAAGGCAUACGGUGAGAGAAACAUGGAGCCAAGACAGUGUACAACCAUUCUGGAAAUCAGUCUGCAGGUUCCUCAGAAAAUUGGACAUUGCACUACCUGAGGACCCAGAUAUACUUCUCUUGGGCAUAUACCCAAAAGAUGCUCCAACAUACAACAAAGACACAUGCUCCACUAUGUUCACACCAGCCUUAUUUAUAAUAGCCAGAAACUGGAAAGAUCUCAGAUGCCUUUCAACAGAGGAAUGGAUACAGAAAAUGUAGUACAUCUACACAAUGGAAUACUACGCAGCUAUCAAAAACAAUGACUUUAUGAAAUUCAUAGGCAAAUGGAUGAAAGUAGAAAAUAUCAUCCUAAGUGAGAUAACCCAAUCACAGAGAAACACACAUGGUAUGCACUCAUUGAUAAGUAGAUAUUAGCCCAAAUGCUCAAAUUACCCAAGAUGCACAGAACACAUGAAACUCAAGAAGGAUGACCAAAAUGCAGAUACUUCACUCCUUCUUUAAAAGGAGAAUAAGAAUACCCAUAGGAGGGGAUAAGGAGGCAAUGUUUAGAACAGAGACUGAAGGAAUGCCCAUUCAGAGCCUGCCCCAUAUGUGGCCCAUACGUAUACAGCCACCAAACUAGAUAAGAUGGAUGAAGCAAAGAAGUGCAGGCCAACAGGAACUGGAUGUAGAUCUCUCCUGAGAGACACGGCCAGAAUACAGCAAAUACAUAGGCGAAUGCCAUCAUUAAAUCACUGAACUGAGAAUGGGACCCUGGUUGAAGGAAUCAGAGAAAGAACUGAAAGAGCUGAAGGUGCUUUAGACCCCAUAUGAACAACAAGGCCAACCAACCAGAGCUUCCAAGGACUAAGCCACUACCCAAAGACUAUACAUGGACUGACCCUGGGCUCCAACCUCAUAGGUAGCAAUGAAUAGCCUAGUCGGGGCACUAGUGGAAGGGGAAGUCCAUGGUCCUGUCAAGACUGGAUCCCUAGUGAAUGGGAUUUUUGUGGGGAG
ensembl:lncRNA